AGCGUCUUGCAGUUUUUUUUUAAUUCACAGACUGCAGAACAAUAAAAAAAAAUGGCUUCGCCAACGAAUUACGAUCGACGAAACAGAAUUUAUUACGAUUAGAGCCUAAUGGUUCAGGCGCAGUGGCUCUGAAGUUUUAGUGCACAAUGAACGACAAGAAAUAAUACGUCACAGUAUUGGCCCAAAAUUCGCUGGACUAUAUGUAUAUAUAGUGUCUUUGGAUUUUCUACGUUGCUUUAUAGUCUGUGGUGUAAGGACUUGUCAAUGAUUAUUAGAUCAGGCAGCUUUUAGGCGUUACAGUCUACUAAUCCGCACGGUCCGUUUACUUCAGUAAAGGUACGUUCUUAUCGGGCGAUGCAAACGAAAAUUUGCACAACCAGAGCAUCGCUUUGACAAGUCCGAGUAGCGAUACGUGCAGUGGGAACGUUGCUUGAAGCCUGACUCAUAGGACAAGCCGGUUUGCGAUUAAAGCCCUUAUGCCACCUACGCAAUCGACGACAGCUUUCCUGUUAAACGUGUAGAUACAGAAGUCACCUGCCCUUAUGUGGUGCGACGAUACGUAGACUCAUUGCAGACGCGGCUUGAGGGUAUUCGAUUCACAUGACGAAGGUCAUUGCACAGAGUUCGCGUGGCGCAGCAUUGAGUCGCGCGUUGAAAAUUGGUCAGAGCUAUAAAAGGCGGUGAGGCGAUUAAAAAAAAUAAUAAUAAAAAAAGCUUGCACGGUCGCCUCGAUGAAAACGCUAGGCGAGGUUAUACGCGGGAAUAAAUACUUGGCGACGAGGUAGGAUGGCUAAAAUAGACUAAUGAAAACAGGCCACACGAGUAUUUACACGAAACGAAUAAUUACAAAGUGUCGGGAACGAUCAGCUUAAUGAGCGACUUAACUCCUUUGCUAAACACCAACACAGUAGCUACUCUGAAUUCUGUCGCUAGACGCGUCUCGUUGAGAAUUGUGUAGUUACUUUGAAAACGCGACUACUCAGUUUCUUACAGCAAUCCACCGCUUGGAAAGGCUCACCAGCCUUUGAGAAUAUUUUUGCGAAUAUUUGCCAGACUAUUCGUAACACUCGAUGCGUAUGUUUACAAGUCGCGACGCUUUACACGCAAACUUUUCUCUCGAGUGUAGCCAGACGGUAAUCGCUUAAAUGUGCUAUGGAGGACAGCCUUAAGGUCAAGAUGAGCUACGAAUUAGCUUCAGUAAUUUGUCUGUGAAUCCAUGUCCAGGAAUUGUGUGUCAGAGCACAACGUACGGAUUUGUAAAAUAUCUGAGCGAUUAAAAAUAAAUCUUCAGAAUAAUAAAGAUUAAUACUAAAUAAACAGGAUUAAUAAUGAUAUACGACCUGUUGUUUCUCGUUGGGCUUAAUGGUCAAUAAUUGUAGUCAACCAUUUUCUCAUUGCGAGGUUAAAUAUUAAACUGUCCCAAUAAACGAGUCCCUCGUCGCUUAACGUUCGUUCACAAGAUAGCGGCGACGCAUCCUGUUACGCCCUGAAGAGAAUUGAACGUUCUUGACCAAAGGGUUGAAAAAGCUGCCUUUAAAAUGACCAUUGUUCGAUGAUUUAGCACGCAUAAGAGUGACACUGACCGCGUAAUGGAGUGUCUCGGACGACGGCCAUGUAUAACCUCAAAUAAUUGAGAAGCCCGACUGGGGGGUUGGAAAAGCGAUUGGAGAGCCAGUGACCUGAGUAAUACACAUCGCCUCGAAUUAAGCAGCCUUAACGAGGUCUUCCUUUCCCCACAAUCACUAAUCCCUUGUAGUUACCAGCCACUUUGAAAGUGGCAAUCCUGACAAUCAGAACCUUAGGCUUGCUUCGAUUUACAUAGAAACACAUACCAUACGCAUUCGUAUACUUUUACAACUAGAAGAAAGGAAAAUUUGAGAUUCUAAACUGAUUAGAAUUUCCAAAAAUAUAUACCACUGUAAUCCUACCAUCGGCUUUUCUUCUCGUAGACAUUCAGCACUGUAGGAAAUUCCCCAAAAAAUCGCCGAACCGAUUCGAACCCGUGACACUCGCCUGACGCUUUAACAACGUAAAAUCGAUAUUCCGGUAUCCCUGCGAACUUGUUAAAUCAUAUGUGUCAUUGAAAACACAUGAGAGAGCGCGCGCGCAAGCAUACAAGUAUAAUAAGCACGUGUGCCUCGAGAUUCGUAAACGUUACGAAAAUAGCGUGAAUAUUCCGUUCGCACGGUUCGUUGCCAGUAAGCUGCGCAGUAGCCAACUGCGCAUCCCUUACUACGGUAACCGUCAAAUCAUUCGAGCUGAAGCGUCGUUCAAAAUUUAAAAAGAUAUCAUCCCCGCGAAUUAUACAACAAAACAUAAACCCAUCGUCCAAGACAACAAUCGAUCGUAUCGCUCUCGUUAUUUGUCACGUAACCUUAACGUAUGACGUCUCACCCAAGCGCCAAAAUUAAUUAAUACAAACUCUCAGAAUCCAACAAUUAACCAAAUCCGCCCUCUAAAAACCCCUUAAUACAGACCUAACCCAACCAGUCGCCUCAGCUUUCGCAACACUGUUACUCGCAUCAGAGCCAUAAAGAUACCAUUUUUAAAAUGCAAUACAUCGAUGAACAAUGCAAAACUAUUAUUCUCGACUCGAAGCUAAUCUCGCUGAUACAUACAGCCAGAAGAAUUGAUUUGUUUCACAGCUCAAAUUUGCCAACGAGUCCAGGGUAUUUCAGGUCCUCACCAACUCGAGUGUCGAUGAGGUUAAUAAAGUUUUCAUAGGAGCAGCAGGCAACCGAAGGUAACCAGUGCAGCAGGGCAUUCUGCGAACAUAGUGGUGAGCCGACGUUAGCGUCGUCUUAACUAGUGCUGUGAAAAUUCAAAGGCACUCCACCUAUCAAAACAGAACCAAUGGCCUAUAUAUGUACACUGUCUAAAAGCCAUAAGAGGGCAGAAGCUAAAAAAACGAACGAUAAGCGUCACACAUACUGCCGAUGGAUUCGACCGUUUCCUGCCAAAGCAGUACAGAGAUACACGUGCCAGUUGGUUGUAUUCCACAAUGAAUAACGCUGGGAUAGUGUUUGAUAAUUAUAAAGCGUGGUGCGCGACAAAAUGAUGACUUGCUGAAUAAGGAUUGUGACGUGAUUGGAUAAUAAUUUUGUACAGUAAUCAAUUUUAGGCAGACAGUUAAAUUAUUAGGAAUUUAUUAACUCAUAGUCUCAGUUACUGACAUUUUUAAGCAGAUAUUUCUGUAUUGUUUUUCUUUGCUCGAUUUGAGCAAUGUAAAGAAUUUUUCAUCUCGACCAAUCGCCAAGCAAAAUUUCCGUCAUUUACUCACAGAGUCUAAUUUUCUUAUAUACUCCUAGACACUGUACCGUCUUGUAUUGUUUAUGGCUGUUUGCACUUCCUCUUGGAAGAGAAGCAAUCGUAUAUCAAAGAUAAGUCUAAUGCCGCCGUCAAGGCAAAGAAUCUUUAUUUAAUCAGUGAUACCUUGCGAACUGUACGUACGAGGUGGAAACUCAUGACGCUUUACAAAGAAUUAAAAAAAUUUAUUUCAAAAGUCUUAUCAGGCGUAAAGGCUCUGAUAAGAAAUUUUGUAACGCGUUUUUGAGCAAUUAAUUUGAUAUACAACAGAGAUUCGUCAUGAAAAAAUAAUUGGGCGAUGAAUCACCGUCUGCAAGUGAAUCCGAAGUAGAUUUUAGAUUUACUGUUUUAUCCAAAUUUGAUAAAACAGUAAAUCUGAGAUAAGAUACUUGGUCACUGGCGAGCAACGAUAUGGCCGUGAGAACAGGCAUAUUUCUUUUGCACCUAUUUUAUUCAAUUAUGACACGGAUCUACGAAAUCAUGAAUUUCUGAUGCUUCUGUAAUGCGACGACGGACCGUUGUUAAUUUUAAAUGUUGAGAUAGCAGGACUUUGUUAAAAUUAAUAUUGUGGUAUUAAUCACGUCAAUUGUUAUGACAGGUGCACUUGUGAGAGAGGAAGAGACGAUUGGACGAUCAUCUUUUCUCAAGAUCAUUCGCUUGACUAACAAUGAUUAACGAUCUUGAGGUCAGACCGGAGAGAAAUACGUAAUCCAAUCAAAGUUAGAUCGAUUCUGUCAAUUGAAGUGAAAGCCGCUGUAUUUAUACGCAUAGGAGUGACGUUUUCUGAUCUAGUAACGGUCAGGGUCAUGGCGAAGAACGAAUUAUAAUUGCCAACGUUCUUAAACUCCUGUAAGAAUAUUGUAAAAUAGUAAUAAAUCAUUUUACAAUAGAGAUUCUGUGACAUGGACCAAUUGCGAUUAAUUCGAUUGUAGUAUCGUGAACGAUAAAUCCUAAUCAACUCCGACAUUCCAGUCAAAUUUCGACGAGUAGAGUCCGAGGGAAUAUUUUUCAGUUUGAGUCAACCUGGUGAAUGCAGUCAGAAAUAUUUUGAAAAUGUAGAUGGUAAACAAGGAAGAAAAAAAUGACUAGGAUAAAUCAAAUGCCUAAAGAGAAUUAUUGAGCGAAGACAAAAAUUAAUAAUGAAAGGUAAAACCGUUAUUUAUGUUUAGAAUUGGAAUGAAUACUAUGAAUUAUGAAACGUAUAUAGAUAGACAUUGGAAUGUCUAAAGAUACUUUAUGGACUCGUCCGUGAUAUUCGUGUUGAUUCCCUUAGCAACAUCCUUUUAUAGGUUAUAUUAUUUGCCAUUUGGUUGAAAGAUGAAAUUUUU